GGCACUUGGGUGGGAACUCGUGCGGGAUUUAGGUCCCAGUAAGCGUACAACGUCUCCCAACUCUGGGAGUCCUCGCUACAUCCCGGUCUCCACCUUAGUGUCGUCGCAGCCACUUGUCCAAACCCCGACAGUCAAACGGGCUUGUGCUGGAAAGCAAUCGCCUCCACUUCCACACUAGAACACACACAAGAGGCACGGGAACAAAAUCGAUACCCCUGAAGGCCCGGCGCUGUGGCUCAAGCCUCUAAUCCCAACACUUUGGCAGCCCAAGGUGGGUGGAUCACUGGAGUUCAGGAGUUCAAGACCAGUCUGGCCAAUAUGAUGAAACCUCGUCUCUACUAAAAAUAUAAAAAAUUAGACGGGCGUGGUGGCGGACACCUGUAAUUCCAGCUACUCGGAAGGCUGAGGCAAGAGAAUUGUUCCAACCCGGGAGGUGGAGGUUGCAUUGAGCCAAGAUCGCACCACUGCACUCCAGCCUGGGAGACAGAGCGAGACUCCGUCUCAAAAAAAAAAAAAAAAAUUAGCUGUGCUUGGUAGCGCGCGCCUGUAAUCCCAGCACUCCGGGACGCCGAGGUGGUUGGAUCACCUGAGGUCAGGAGUUCAAGACCAGCCUGGACAACAUGGCGAAACCCCGUCUCUACUGAAAAUACAAAAAUUAGCCGGGAGUGGUGGCGGACACCUGUAAUCCCAGCUACUCGUAAGGCUGAGGCAGGAGAAUUGUUCCAACCCGGGAGGCGGAGGUUGCAGUGAGCCAAGAUCGCGCCACUGCACUCCAUCCUGGGCGACAGACGGAGACUCCGUCUCAAAAAAAAAAAAAUUAUUUUGCUGAGUCUCAAAAAAAAAUUAUUUUGCUCUUUUUCUCUUAAUAAGUUUCCGUUAUACCUCAAGUUGGAGUUAUCGCCUGUGUAAUUGAAAACUUUUCCAGAGUUAAAUACAGUUUGAGAGUUAACCACUCUAGAGAGAGGAAGGGGAAAAGAGAGGGGAAGGAGCCACACUCUUUUAGAGAGAGGGGAGGAGAGGAAAGAGAAAAAUAAGUUGUAAGAUAAUUGUUUCAUUUUUCCAACCGUUUUCCAUUAGGAUUAACUGAAAAAGAAGGAUACAUUUCAUGCAGCCUAAUAAAACUAAUGCUCCUGAACCGGGCACAGUGUACAUUAUUUAACAAAAUCUCUGGCCUCAGCCUGGGCAACAGGGCAAGAGCAAGAUGCUGUCUCAAAAAAUAAAAAAUAAAAAAAGGCCGGGCGCGGUGGCUCACGCCUAUAAUCCCAACACUUCGGGAGGCCGAGGCGGGCGGAUUACCUGAGCUCAGGAGUUCAAGACCAGCCUGGGCAACAAGAUGAAACCCCGUCUCCACUAAAAUACAAAAAAUUAUUUGGUCAUGGCGGUUGUGCGCCUGUAGUCCCAGCUACUGAGGCUGAGGCAGGAGAAUCGUUUGAACCCUGGAGGCGGAGGUUGCAGUGAGCCAAGAUCAUACCACUGCACUCCAGCCCGGACGACAGUGUAAGACUCCCUCUCAAAAAAAAAAAAAAAAAAAAAAAAAAAAAAAAAAAAAAAAACUCUAGCUGGAACUAGUGGCACAUACCUGUAGCCCUAGCUACAGCAAGAGGAAGGAGACUGAGGCCAGAGGAUUUCUUGAGCCCAGGAGUUCAAGUCAAGGCUGCAGUGAACUACGAUUGUUAUAGCACUAUACUCCAGCAAGACCCUGUUUCAAAAGCAACAAUAUGGCCAGGCGCAGUGGCUCACGCCUGUUAUCCCAGCACUUUGGGAGGCCGAGGUGGGCGGAUCACGAGGUCAGCAGUUCGAGACCAGCCUGGCCAAUAUGGUGAAACCCCGUCUCUACUAAAACUACAAAAAUUAGGCAUGGUGGCAGGCACCCGUAAUCCCAGCUACUCC
rnacentral:lncRNA from 10 species